rnacentral:rRNA from 1 species
UACAGAGGUCUCAAGCGUUGUUCGGAUUCAUUGGGCGUAAAGGGCGCGUAGGCGGCUUUGCGUGUCUUUCGUGAAAUCCCUCGGCUCAACUGAGGACGUGCGGAAGAAACUGCAGGGCUGGAGUCCGGGAGAGGAGGGUGGAAUUCCCAGUGUAGCGGUGAAAUGCGUAGAUAUUGGGAGGAACACCGGUGGCGAAGGCGGCCCUCUGGGACCCGGUACUGACGCUGAUGCGCGAAAGCGUGGGGAGCAAACGGG